rnacentral:rRNA from 1 species
CCUACGGGAGGCAGCAGUCGAGAAUCAUUCACAAUGGGGGAAACCCUGAUGGUGCGACGCCGCGUGGGGGAAUGAAGGUCUUCGGAUUGUAAACCCCUGUCAUGUGGGAGCAAAUUAAAAAGAUAGUACCACAAGAGGAAGAGACGGCUAACUCUGUGCCAGCAGCCGCGGUAAUACAGAGGUCUCAAGCGUUGUUCGGAAUCACUGGGCGUAAAGCGUGCGUAGGCUGUUUCGUAAGUCGUGUGUGAAAGGCGCGGGCUCAACCCGCGGACGACACAUGAUACUGCGAGACUAGAGUAAGGGAGGGGGAACCGGAAUUCUCGGUGUAGCAGUGAAAUGCGUAGAUAUCGAGAGGAACACUCGUGGCGAAGGCGGGUUCCUGGACAUUAACUGACGCUGAGGCACGAAGGCCAGGGGAGCGAAAGGGAUUAGAUACCCCAGUAGUC